rnacentral:rRNA from 1 species
GAACGGCAGCCCGGGAGCAAUCCUGCCGGCGAGUGGCGCACGGGUGAGUAAUACAUCGGAACGUGCCCAAUCGUGGGGGAUAACGCAGCGAAAGCUGUGCUAAUACCGCAUACGAUCUACGGAUGAAAGCAGGGGAUCGCAAGACCUUGCGCGAAUGGAGCGGCCGAUGGCAGAUUAGGUAGUUGGUGAGGUAAAGGCUCACCAAGCCUUCGAUCUGUAGCUGGUCUGAGAGGACGACCAGCCACACUGGGACUGAGACACGGCCCAGACUCCUACGGGAGGCAGCAGUGGGGAAUUUUGGACAAUGGGCGAAAGCCUGAUCCAGCCAUGCCGCGUGCAGGAUGAAGGCCUUCGGGUUGUAAACUGCUUUUGUACGGAACGAAACGGCCUUUUCUAAUAAAGAGGGCUAAUGACGGUACCGUAAGAAUAAGCACCGGCUAAUUAGGUG